rnacentral:misc_RNA from 1 species
GUGAAUCAUCGAAUUUUUGAACGCAUAUUGCACUCUCUGGUAUUCCGGUGAGUAUACCUGUUUGAGGGUAAGUAUAAGGAAUCAUUUACCAAUUUUUUUGGUCAACGGAUAUGAGUUCUCCGCGUUUAUAUCGGUAGCUUGAAAUAAAUGGUCAAGUCUCAUUUUAGUCGAGACGCGUAAUAAUGUUAUUUCGCGAAAUCUUCUUUUUGUGACUAUCAAUUUUUGACG